GAAAUCAUAAUGAUUUGGUAUUUGUAUAUAUUGUGGAAUGAUUGCCACAGUAAGUCGAGUUAACAUUCAAGUCAUUGCAUUUUAAUUAGAAUUAAUUAAAGGGGACGAGGAUGGGAGAAGAAAGACCAUUUAUUUAAAAGAUUCUUAUUGCUCAUAUUCAGUUUCCCGACCAUGUCAGAAAGUCAUUCAACUUUUGGAAGAAAAUCUGUCUCCUUCCUUAAAAGAGGCAUUGAGAGAAAGAAAGAAAAGAAAGAAUGGAAGUUCCAUGAGGGGAGAGACUUUAUCUUGUCCAUCAUGGGAUCUUCAGCACCUGAGACAGUGCCCAGCACAUGGUACCUGCUCAGUAGGUCUAACCCACCAUCAACUGGAGAUACAUCCUGGGUGACAUUGCCUGUGGUGGUGGUGGUGAUGGAUUUGAAACAUACCAUGGGAAGCUAGAAGCCUUGAAUAAAAUUGUUCUUGGCUGAGACACCCCCCCCCCCGGUAAUAAAAGACAGAUUAAUUGGAAAAAAACAAACAAGUUUAAUAUCAUGUAUGCCUCGUGUGUCCCUGAGAGAGACCCAGGAAAACUGAGCAACUCUCCAAAAUGGCCCAAGCCACUAUCUUCAAUACCAUCUCCAGGUGGCACAUGAGUCCUUCUUAAGAGGGAUUCUGGAGGGUCAGAGUGAGAGUAGGAGGCGAUGUGAUGAUGGAAGCAGAUAUGUUAUGGAUUUUGAAGAUUCAGGAAGCAGCCAGAAGCCAAGGAAUACUAAGGGCACUAGAAGGCUGGAAGACGAAAAGAAAUGGCAUCUCUCCAGAGCCACCAGCCCUGCAGCAUAUUCAACUUCUUGCCUCCAGUACUGGAGCAUCAUCAAAGUUUGUGUCUUGCAGUAUUUGGAAUAACCAUAGGGGAUGUUGGCAACUCAUCAGCAACAUAAAAUAACUAACAUCUGGAAAGGUGGCAGCCGUGGGUUGGAAGGCUACCUCAUAGGGUAACAGAAGGCAAUCUUCUGUGCAGUUCUUCAGAUGAAAAGGCAGUGCUACCAGAACUCACUGUGGCUGAUUAUCCUAAUCAGAGUUGGGAAAAUCCCCUUCAGGUGAUUAACCACAAGAGGCUUUUUGAACAGCAUUUCCCUCAUGGAAGUUCUCAGAUGACUCGUGGUCAAACCAAGUAACAAAUAAGCAACGUAUUUCUGUGACUUACGAAGAAGCUAGCACCCACAGAAGAUGGACUCUUUUUCUCCAACAGAAAGAACAGGUCAAAUAGUAGACAAAAAAAAUAAGAUGAGGUAUGUUGGUCUUCAGCAACCCCCUAGCAUUUCAUUUUCCUUCAGCCAAUAGCAUCCCUUCACACCUAAUGACCUCAUAGAUUUUCCCUUCUCUUAACUAAGACAUUGUGGUAAAAUAUUUAUCAAGUAUUGAUAUUUGUUAGUCCCCAUACUAAGACUCUCACUUGUAUCUCUUAUAGUGUCCAUGACAACAUUUCCAUGAAACAGGUAUGAUUAGUCCCAUUUUCCAGAUGAGAAACUGAGGCAACGAGGUUAUUAGUGUCAGUGCCAGUGUCAGUUUUUGAUUCAUAGUAAGUACUCAGUAAGUAGUAGCUACUGUUGUUAUUUUUUUUUUAAUUAUGGAAGUGUCCCAUGGGAAGUAUGGAGAAAGUGCUUUCGUAGUUGAGACAAUAUGGUGAUGAACUGCCCAGCGCAGUCACUGUGUCAGCGAGAGAGGAGGGGGUCUGAGAAAAUGAGGAAGAAGUUUUCAUUCUCAGAUAAUUAACGUAUGUGUGUAUCUGUUUGAGAAGAAGUAAGGCAAAAUGUCCUAAAGAUUAUCAUAGGGGCACAAAGGAAGCACAGAGGAAGAUGACCACCAACCAUAUGAAGGAGGUAGCAUUUGAAAUAAACUUGCAGGGAGAGGUUGCAUUUCCUAUACAGACAAAGGCAGAGGUGGGAGAGGACAAGGCACAACUGGGGAAUGAUGGACUGUCUGGUGGCCUUGGCCCACUUCUCAUGCUGUCCUCCCCACACCUACAGUCUAUUUUGAUGAAUACAGGAGAGCAAAGAGAAUAGACCAAUUUUACCACUUUUUUGACUUUGAAAUGAUCUGAAGACAGUUCUCCCACUCCCCCUAUUUUCCAAGACAAAGCCCUUCAGUUUCCCUGGACAUGAUUUGUACCUACAUUAUCAUCAGCUUCAUUGGCUUCCAGAUGACUCAUUUCUCUCCACCCUCCCCCCUGCAAACCUGAAGCUUCCAAUGGAGAUGGAGAAUUAAAAUCCCCAUGUACGAGUCACUUAAGUAACUCUACCAAAAUAAAAACAAAAACCAACCUAAAAUUUAAUGGAGUUUUGAGAAGGCCAAAAUCAGUAUUUCAAAUAGGGCAGAGAAUGUAUCCUAACCAUCUUCAUCUUUGGUUGCCUAUUUAUUGGCACAGUGACUUGAAACUUGGGGGAUAAUAUUAAAGAAGUUGUAUUUCUUGGUUAGGAGACCCUUGAGUCAUUACAGUGGGAUUAUGAGGUAUCAUGAAUAUUUAAUGAGCUUAACGUAUUGCUUUAAUGGAAAUCUUUGGUUACUUUGGUUUUCAGAUUCUCUAUCUUGCUCUCCUGCUUUAUUCAUUGCAAAUUAUUUUCUGCAGGAACUAAUUUCUAGAUCUCAAUAGCGUAUCAAAAGAAAGUA